AAACAGAAUGAAACCGAAAGUCAACGAUAAGAAGAAGAAGAAGAGAGAUCAUGAGAUUAAUGAUGAUUCUGAUUCUGUUUCUGGUGGUGAUCCGCAAGCGGUUGUGCGAGACUUGUUGAAGGAGUUUCCGAAUAUUGGGUGCGAUUUGAAGCAGCUUUUGCAAUUGAUCGAUAGCGGCAAAGCGGUCGAUAUAACCGGAAUAGCUCAGAAAUCUCUGAUCAAGCCUCUCAGAGGUCUCUUCCUUUGCUUGCAUCUCAAGGAACUAAAUCACGGAGCUUUCGUGUUGCCUCCACAUGUUCCUCCAACUCUGGAGGUUAUUGGGUCCAUGAUCACGCCUUGUUUAGAUGAUGAUGAUGCUCGACCAACUGAAAGAAGAAGGCCAAUUGGGCCGGAGAUGCCGACGCCGGAGCUACUUGCAGCUGCUGCCAAAUUGAGAGAGGCAGAGGCGGAAUUGAGGGAAGCUCAGUUGGAAGAAAAAGGUAAUCGGGUUUUUAUAGGACCUGCACCGCGUGUUGUAGUGGCUGAAGCUGAAUCAGCUAACCAGGGUGAUCGUUUCGAAGAGGUGACAAGGAUCAUGGAAGCAGAGGAUGAUAGCUUGUAUGACAUAUUGGGAGUAGACCACUAUGUGUCUGCUGAUGACAUCAAGAAAAGGUACUGGAAGUUGUCGCUUUUGGUGCACCCUGAUAAAUGCUCACACCCUCAAGCCAGCCAAGCAUUUGUGAAGCUGAACAAGGCGUUUAAGGAGUUACAGGAUCCGGAGAAGCGGAGAGCGCUGGAUGAGAAGAUUGAGCUCAAAGAGAAGCAGGAGAGAUUCAAAAAGAGAAACAUGGCAGGUGAUGUGAGUGUUGUUAAAUCGGCACCAAGAAGAGAUGAGUGGAUGACAGAGCUCCCACGGGAGAGGAAACAUGGUAUGAGUACAAUGCAAUCGACAAUGUUUAGCAGCAAUGCUAAAGAAGGGCGUGGAGAUACUGGUUGUUGGACUGAUGCUCCAUCUGAAAGAGCUCGGAAGGCUAAGAUGGAUUACUUAAAAGCCUAUAAUGAGUUUCAUCGCUUGCUUCGAAUGAGGAGGAGAGGAAGAGGAGUUUAGAUGCAGAGUUGAUGGACAGAUGCAAUAAAGAGAAACGAUCGAAGUCAUUGUUACAAAAGCACAAAGAGGAGAUUAGAGCGAGCCGUUUGAAGAGGAAGCACUCCAAGCAACAGGUAGAGGAGGAAGACUGGGUGGGGAAACAUCCGUGGAAGCCUUGGGACCGUGAGAAGGAUUUGGCAGGUGGUAGACAAAGUGUGAAACUGGAUUCAGAAGACAUGACUCGAGGUUUGUCAUCAAGGUUUUCUGGAGGAUCAUAUCAAAGGAGCUUUCUCUAGCCAUGAAAUGGCAUGGGCACUCAUUUGAAAGUGGUGGACCACAAAGUUUGGGAUUCCCCUCGAAGGCAGAGGCAUUGAAGCUUUGGAGCUGAGUACUUGUUGGAAUUCCUCCUUCAAGAUUAUUGUAUGAGACAUUAAAAGAUGACAAGAAGUUGAGACUAGUCAAUGACAGUGGGAUUUUUCCAGACAAAUGAUUCAUGGAGAGGUCCAAAUUCUCCAAGUUUUUGAGGUCGGACAGUUGCUCUGGAAUGUUGCCGGAAAAGUUGUUAUUGCUAAGGCUCAAUGUACGAAGAAGCUGCAAUUGACCAAUCUCAGUAGUUAUCAUCACAAUGAAAAAGGUCGAAAGAGAUCAGGCCCAUCUUUGGCCUUUCUGGUGCAGGAAGUUCAAACUUUGAAUCAAACCAUAUACGGUAGACAACACUAACAGCAUAAUGGAUGGUGGUAGGCAGAAGUAACAUCUGAG